rnacentral:rRNA from 1 species
CAGUAGCCGCGGUAACACGGAGGGUGCAAGCGUUAUCCGGAUUUAUUGGGUUUAAAGGGUCCGUAGGCGGACUUAUAAGUCAGUGGUGAAAGCCUGUCGCUUAACGAUAGAACUGCCAUUGAUACUGUAAGUCUUGAGUAUAUUUGAGGUAGCUGGAAUAAUUAGUGUAGCGGUGAAAUGCAUAGAUAUUACUUAGAACACCAAUUGCGAAGGCAGGUUACCAAGAUAUAACUGACGCUGAGGGACGAAAGCGUGGGUAGCGAACAGGAUUAGAUACCCGCGUAGUCCCUGUCUCUUAUAC